rnacentral:rRNA from 1 species
AACGAACGCUGGCAGCAUGCCUAACACAUGCGAGUCGAACGAGACCUUCGGGUCUAGUGGCGCACGGGUGCGUAACGCGUGGGAACCUGCCCUUAGGUUCGGAAUAACUCCCCGAAAGGGGUGCUAAUACCGGAUAAUGUCUUCGGACCAAAGAUUUAUCGCCUUUGGAUGGGCCCGCGUUGGAUUAGCUAGUUGGUAGGGUAAAAGCCUACCAAGGCGACGAUCCAUAGCUGGUCUGAGAGGAUGAUCAGCCACACUGGGACUGAGACACGGCCCAGACUCCUACGGGAGGCAGCAGUGGGGAAUAUUGGACAAUGGGCGAAAGCCUGAUCCAGCAAUGCCGCGUGAGUGAUGAAGGCCUUAGGGUUGUAAAGCUCUUUUACCCGGGAUGAUAAUGACAGUACCGGGAGAAUAAGCGCCGGCUAACUCCGUG